rnacentral:rRNA from 1 species
UACGGGGGGGGCAAGCGUUGUUCGGAAUUACUGGGCGUAAAGGGCGCGUAGGCGGCCCGCUAAGUCGAACGUGAAAUCCCCGGGCUCAACCCGGGAACUGCGUCCGAUACUGGAAGGCUUGAAUCCGGGAGAGGGAUGUGGAAUUCCAGGUGUAGCGGUGAAAUGCGUAGAUAUCUGGAGGAACACCGGUGGCGAAGGCGACAUCCUGGACCGGUAUUGACGCUGAGGCGCGAAAGCCAGGGGAGCAAACGGG